UACGUAGGGUGCAAGCGUUAAUCGGAAUUACUGGGCGUAAAGCGUACGCAGGCGGCUGUGCAAGACAGGUGUGAAAUCCCCGGGCCCAACCUGGGAACUGCAUUUGUGACUGCAUAGCUAGAGUCCGUAAGAGGGGGGUGGAAUUCCACGUGUAGCAGUGAAAUGCGUAGAGAUGUGGAGGAACACCGAUGGCGAAGGCAGCCCCCUGGGAUGAGACUGACGCUCAUGUACGAAAGCGUGGGGAGCAAACAGG
rnacentral:rRNA from 1 species